GUCAGAGUCUGUUUGGUCUUCGGUUCGUUAUCGUUGAAACAGACAUUUCUAGACUCAUCAUGCUAUAUAAUUCCGAAAGUCGCUUCCGAAAAAAAGUUAAUGGUGAAUACUUUUACGUAAAUUCUAUCUCAUCGGCGGGAAGGGCCUGGUGAACUACUGGCAAAGAUAUCGAAAAUACUUGAAUGUUCUCUUGUCUUCAAUCGUUCUUUUGAAGGAGAAUCCAUGCUUGCUACUAAACUCAAGCAUAUACACGGUUAGCAAGUUGGUCAAUACAUAUACAUAUAACCUCAUGUUAAUCAUUCAUAAUUACUCAUGAUUUAUAGUUCUAGUGUAAGAGUAAUCACUAACAAUAAUGAUUGAAUCAGCAUAUAUUCAAAGUGUGAAGAAUUCUAAAAUCCAUUACGUCUAGUCUUUUUUACAAGCCAAUAUAACCAGAGGUAACCCACUGCGCUCAAUCAUUGAAAAAAGUUCUUGUUUCUAUGUGGCCGUUUUUCUUGGUACGCUUUGUGCGACGGUUCGUUCAACUGAAGCGGAUAAAAUUUUGCGCGCAUUUUAUGACGCUACAUUUCACCUUAAGGUAGCGCUUCGCCGUGGUCACGGGAGUUCGCUGCCUAUCCCGGGGUUUCACGCACUUUACCCAAAAUUGUAAGAAAACGGGGAUGAAAACGGAAAUUCCAAGAACAUACGAUUCUAGAUAAUUAAUUUUUCUAUCGAUUCGUAUAUAAAUUGUGCCUGAUAAACAUAUUUAUCGAAAGAUUUCGUGCGAGUUAUAAAAAUAAAUGAGUUUUUCCUUAUUCUUUCGCACGCACACAAUGUCAACGCAUGCAUUAGGGUGUGCAAAAUGCUACAUGCGGUAGACGCUAACAACAUUUCUUUUGUUUUCGUUGUCCGUUUUCUCUGCGUAAACGUUGAAUAUAGAUGAGUAGAAAAUGUAAGUAAGUGUUACUACUUUGUAAAAUAAUUUCUAUUCAUGUUUCAGUAGAACCAGAAAUCAGUAAUGAUUUUCAUCGCUACUAGCUUUGACGCUUUGUUGAAAACGUAGCACAUCCCUACAUAUGCGAUUUGUUUAUAGCGAGAAAAGGAAAAAAGAAAACCAAAUUUUAACAAAACUCGCACGAAAUCUCGCGAAAGAAAAGCUUUCUAACUGAUAUUUUUCGCCAAAUGCAUAGUAAAAUCAUUUACCUACAAUCGCAUGUUUUUGAUUUUUCGUGAAUCGGGUUAGUAUUUUAGAAAUUUGCAAUUUAGGGUGAAAUUUCGGCGACAAAACAAGAGGAAGCAGUGAGUUGUCUUGAUUCGACCUGACCACGGCGAAGCGCUACCUUAAGGUAAAACAGAAUAUAAACUAUGAUCAAAGUUUUUACGAUUCCCACCACUAGGGUGCGAGGCGCUGCAUUGGGUAUAUUUCUUAUAGGGAUUCAUUUCGGAUGAGUUUUUUCCCACUGAGCUUUUUUCUGAGAGAGAGUUUUUAAAAAUGAGAAUUUUGGUCGGUGAGCUUUUUUUCGGUAACUUCACAGAAGUACGACAUCGACUGGCCAGUUAGGUUAAGCCUAAUGAAUUAUGGCAAAACAUCAAGUUCACUCAAUGAAAGCAACUUAUUUGAUCAUUGUUAUGAAUAAGGGUAAAAUAUCGAGGCAAAAAAGGGUAAAAUAUCCACAAGAUCGUAAAAAGGAUUUCGUUAUCAACUUUUAGUUCAUGGACAAAUGAAAGAGGAAAUAGGCUCAAAGAGAGUUCCGUUUAGAUCUCGAAUAAACGACAGGGCUCACUAGCUUUCUUAAAAACGUCCCUUCUACGAUCUCGAUAAUGACAAAGAACCAAAGAAUGAGAUCAUCGACGAAGAGAAAUCCAAAUCUUCAUCAAUGAAUCUCGAAGGAAAUGUUCAAGGUUCUAUUGAAUUAUAUUCACAGCGAUGCGAAUUCUGUGAUAUUAUUUGGACUGCUCAUGUUAUAACGACACAGGCGGCCGCCAACAGAAUGGAUUUAUGGAUCUCGUUUUGAGCCUACGGAACCACCAUGAAAAGAAACUAAUUCUCUUAACUCCAAGAAUAUUCCUCUCCUAGCCGAUGGAAAACAAUUGAAUAUAAAUCUGGAUUUUUUUUAUAAAGUAUUGAGACUAGAAUUGAACCAAUUUUUUUCGAUCCGAAACUAACUUCCAAACUAAAACAAAAUAAUUAGCUUAAAAAAGAAAAAAGCUUAUUUUGUCAUGCAGAUUCGGUCCAUUGGUUGUCAACAGUCGGUCAAACGACUGACGGCCAUGACUUCCUCAGAACCGGCGUCAG